AUGCUCGACUAUGCUUGGAAUUGAUAGUUUUGGAAAGAAGACACUCUGACGUUUCCAGAAUUGCAAAGAUUUUCACUGUGAGUGCCGUUGAACAAAAGCUUCAGGCAAAACCAAGAUGUUUGAGCGCCCAGGAAAUGAACAGGAUUUCUGAAGCUACGUUUUCCAUGAUCGCCUUAUAUGGCUGUGAAUGCGACAGGAAUGAACGGACACUUUCUAUCGUUUCCCCAAGGUGUCUGCAGCAUUGUGACGUAUUUGUAGGCAUAUCAUUGGAAGAUUGACCAUAAGAGACUACAAUUGCCAAGUGUCCCGCACGGUGUCUGCGUGGAAAUUGGUGCGCAAAAGUCAGCUACCAGUAUUUUUCCAUCCGAAUCAGAGAAGAAUGCAGGCUUCCAGGGACGGCAUUUCAAUGAAGAGAUAUAUGACAAAACACCUUGAGGAUUGAUUCAAACAACGUUUUCCAUGUUUCAGUCGAUAUUAUGGAGUUAAUUCUGAAAAAAGUUUGACCUGUAGGUGACUGAAUUUUCGGUUAGUUUCGGUAGCCAAAUGCAUAGUAACAAAACGGAACGUUGUGUCCUACACAAGAAUCUUUCAGGAAAAACUGGACAUCUGCUAUGUAACUGAGAGUCUCCUCAUUGAAACAUCUGAAGUUCUUCAAAGUCCAGAUAGACUGCUGGAUUUCAUCUUCAAUGCGGUCACCCCCUAUCUGUAUGUGGAGGAGGUGUGUGAGUUCGCCAUCCCAGAACCCCUGUGUGCCCAGUACGAGAGACCUGACAAGUAGGAAGCCAUCGCUGGAUUUGUGUCCUCCUUCAGCAAUCUAGGGUGAAAGUGAAGACUCUGGGCUCAAUAGGUUCUUGCACCAUAGUCACCGGAAGAGAUGGCGUAUACCUGUGUGACCACACCAAGGUGUUCAAAGAUGGCAGAUGCCUGCUGACAGAUGACAGUUUUGUCCUGGUGGGCUCCUUCUUGGCCUUCUUCGUCCCCCUCACCAUAAUGGUGGUAAGCUACUUACUCACCAUCAGUGCCCUGCAGACUGAUGCUACCAUCUGCCUGGACCAGCUGUUGUUCCGGCCCAAGUGAAGUGCCACCCUGACCCUGGGCUUCUUCCUUCGGGUUCUCACACUCCUGCUCUUCUUCAGGCGUUCACUAAGCCGUGACACAGGAGGGGUUGGCAGGGCAGAAGGCCUCCCAGCUUCUGGUCAUGGUCUUCUUCCUGAUCAUGGUCAUGUUUUGU